rnacentral:hammerhead_ribozyme from 1 species
AUCCAGCUGAUGAGUCAUAAAUAGGAUGAAACGUGCGUCCUGGAU